rnacentral:lncRNA from 1 species
AAAUUAAUGGCGUUAAUCAGUCUUCAAUGCCCAAGAUUCUGGCAUUAACAUCACCCAACGGUCUUCUCACUCUCCUAUAAAAAGUAUGGAAAGCUUCACAAAGAAACACAUGAAACACACGAGAAUAUAAUACUUCCAUCACUCUUGAUUUUCAUUUUCUCACGAGCUGCUGCUCUAAUAUGAGAACAUUUCUUGUUAUUAUCUUCUAUAAUAUUUUCUUAUUGUUAGAAGCAAUAUUCAUUAUAGUAAUCAUAUCAUUGCUAAGAUAUUUCCUCAUGUGCUCUGUGAAGUCUGAAUACUUGAGAGGGCUAAAGGGUUAUUUCUCUUAGACGGUUGUUUGUGUAAUCUUUCAAGAUUAGUGGAUUACGUCCUUUUUAAAGGAGAAAUCACCUUAGCCUGGUGGACUAUAGUAGCUUUGAAUUUCAAGCGAACCAGUAUAAUAUUCUGUUUUGAAUUCCUUUUUAUUUAUGCGUAUGUCCAAAUCCUUAAAAAAAUUAUUUUC